CGAACGAAAGUCGUUAUACUGAAAUUGAUAUGACCUGAAGAGCUUGCUCUGACGUGACUUGAAGAUAGAUUAUAACAAUGGCUUAGUGGCGGACUGGUGAGUAACACGUAAGCAACCUGCCUAUUAGAGGGGAAUAACAGUGAGAAAUCAUUGCUAAUACCGCAUAAGCUGAUAGAAUCGCAUGAUUUAGUCAGAAAAGGAGUAAUCCGCUAAUAGAUGGGCUUGCGUCUGAUUAGCUAGUUGGUUAGGUAACGGCUGACCAAGGCGACGAUCAGUAGCCGAGUUGAGAGACUCUACGGCCACAUUGGGACUGAGAUACGGCCCAGACUCCUACGGGAGGCAGCAGUCGGGAAUAUUGCGCAAUGGAGGAAACUCUGACGCAGUGACGCCGCGUAUAGGAAGAAGGUUUUCGGAUUGUAAACUAUUGUCGUUAGGGAAGAAAUGUGACAGUACCUAAGGAGGAAGCCCCGGCUAACUAUGUGCCAGCAGCGGC
rnacentral:rRNA from 1 species